rnacentral:rRNA from 1 species
GCAGUCGAACGAGAAAGUUUUCUUCGGAAAGCGAGUAGAGUGGCGCACGGGUGAGUAACGCGUAGGUAAUCUACCCUUAUACCUGGGAUAACAUUGGGAAACCGGUGCUAAUACCGGAUACACUUCUUUGCUGCGGGGCGAAGGAGGAAAGGUGGCCUCUUCAUGAAAGCUACCGUAUAGGGAUGAGCCUGCGUACCAUUAGCUAGUAGGUAGGGUAACGGCCUACCUAGGCCACGAUGGUUAGCGGGUCUGAGAGGAUGAUCCGCCACACUGGAACUGGAACACGGACCAGACUCCUACGGGAGGCAGCAGUGAGGAAUAUUGCGCAAUGGGGGAAACCCUGACGCAGCGACGCCGCGUGAGUGAGAAAGGUCUUCGGAUCGUAAAGCUCUGUCAGAAGGGAAGAAGUGUUAGGUGGUUAAUACCCAUUUAAUUUGACGGUACCUUCAGAGGAAGCACCGGCUAACUCCGUGCCAGCAGCCGCGGUAAUACGGAGGGUGCUAGCGUUGUUCGGAAUUACUGGGCGUAAAGGGCGCGUAGGCGGCUGGAUAAGUCAGAUGUGAAAGCCCACGGCUUAACUGUGGAAGUGCAUUUGAAACUGUCCGGCUUGAGUAUCGGAGGGGAGUGUGGAAUUCCCGGUGUAGAGGUGAAAUUCGUAGAGAUCGGGAGGAACACCGGUGGCGAAGGCGACACUCUGGACGAAUACUGACGCUGAGGCGCGAAAGCGUGGGGAGCAAACAGGAUUAGAUACCCUGGUAGUCCACGCCGUAAACGAUGUGAACUAGAGGUAGGGGGUGUUGAUCCCUUCUGUCUCGCAGCCUAACGCAUUA